UCGAGGGGCAUCAGUUUGGUUUGCUUGCAAACCAAAGCUGGCGACCGGCGCACGGGUGAGUAACACGUAUCCAACCUGCCUCAUACUCGGGGAUAGCCUUUCGAAAGAAAGAUUAAUACCCGAUGGCAUAAUUAGACCGCAUGGUCUUAUUAUUAAAGAAUUUCGGUUAUCGAUGGGGAUGCGUUCCAUUAGGCAGUUGGUGAGGUAACGGCUCACCAAACCUUCGAUGGAUAGGGGUUCUGAGAGGAAGGUCCCCCACAUUGGAACUGAGACACGGUCCAAACUCC
rnacentral:rRNA from 1 species